AGUGAACGCUGGCGGUAGGCCUAACACAUGCCAGUCGAACGGCAGCACAGUAAGAGCUUGCUCUUACGGGUGGCGAGUGGCGGACGGGUGAGGAAUACAUCGGAAUCUACUUUUUCGUGGGGGAUAACGUAGGGAAACUUACGCUAAUACCGCAUACGACCUACGGGUGAAAGCAGGGGAUCUUCGGACCUUGCGCGAUUGAAUGAGCCGAUGUCGGAUUAGCUAGUUGGCGGGGUAAAGGCCCACCAAGGCGACGAUCCGUAGCUGGUCUGAGAGGAUGAUCAGCCACACUGGAACUGAGACACGGUCCAGACUCCUACGGGAGGCAGCAGUGGGGAAUAUUGGACAAUGGGCGCAAGCCUGAUCCAGCCAUACCGCGUGGGUGAAGAAGGCCUUCGGGUUGUAAAGCACUUUUGUUGGGAAAGAAAAGCAGCAGGUUAAUACCCCGCUGUUCUGACGGUACCCAAAGAAUAAGCACCGGCUUACUUCGUG
rnacentral:rRNA from 1 species